rnacentral:rRNA from 1 species
CCUACGGGAGGCAGCAGUGGGGAAUUUUGGACAAUGGGCGCAAGCCUGAUCCAGCAAUGCCGCGUGAGUGAAGAAGGCCUUCGGGUUGUAAAGCUCUUUUGUCAGGGAAGAAAAGGGAUUGGCUAAUAUCUGGUCCUCAUGACGGUACCUGAAGAAUAAGCACCGGCUAACUACGUGCCAGCAGCCGCGGUAAUACGUAGGGUGCAAGCGUUAAUCGGAAUUACUGGGCGUAAAGCGUGCGCAGGCGGUUUUGUAAGACUGUCGUGAAAUCCCCGGGCUUAACCUGGGAAUGGCGAUGGUGACUGCAAGGCUAGAGUUUGGCAGAGGGGGGUAGAAUUCCACGUGUAGCAGUGAAAUGCGUAGAUAUGUGGAGGAACACCGAUGGCGAAGGCAGCCCCCUGGGUCAAAACUGACGCUCAUGCACGAAAGCGUGGGGAGCAAACAGGAUUAGAUACCCUGGUAGUCCACGCCCUAAACGAUGUCUACUAGUUGUCGGGUCUUAAUUGACUUGGUAACGCAGCUAACGCGUGAAGUGACCGCCUGGGGAGUACGGUCGCAAGAUUAAAACCUCAAAGGAUUGACGGCUGAGAGNGCGAGACGACGACGAGGGAGGAGG